ACAUCUGUAUAGAUUCUCAUUCCUCUGUGGUUACCUACAGCGAAAGGUUAAACAAAAAACAUGGAUAAAGACGCUACAGAUAAUAGAAGCAAUCAGCUAAACCCAAACCAUCCAUCCUAUCAAGCUGGGACGAUUACUCAUGGCUACAAUUCUGAGCAAUAUUACAAGGAUAAUAGAUCCGACCAGCUGAAUCCAAACAACGAACAAUAUCACAAGUCAAGGACUGACAAUUCCAACAACUCUACCAAGAAAUAAUGAGCGAACUAAAGAAAAACAUGUAAACAAACACAUAAUAACUGAAUAAAAAAUUCUUCCGUAAAGAAUCUUUACUAAAAACAAUACACCCUGUAUACAAAUUGCCUUAGCUCCCAGUAUCGAUUAACGCAUCCCCACUCUUGCAGCAAACUACAGCGGCUACCACUAGAUGGCACACCGAGCAAUAAUUUCACAUAAUUUCAGUAUUGAGUCAUCAAGAGCAUGAUAUUUAUCAACAAACAUAUGACAUCAUUUAAAAUAACCUAAAUAGAAAUCAUAUUAAAAAGUAGUCGGAGUUAAAUGCGUCUCUUUUUCUAUUUUAAAAGCCCUAAGUUAUUUUCGCGCUGCAUCCGGUGAAGUCCCCGAUUUUCUCUGUGUGUGUAUUUACAAGAGUAUAAAGUCGUGUUAGACGCAAACUCCCAACAGUCGCAACCCAGGCAGCUAACAAAAAUGGACAAGGCUGGUGCAGACAAUCGAGCCAAUCAACUCAACCCAAAUCACCCUUCUUAUAUGGGAGGAACUGUAACCCAUGGGUACAAUGACCAAAAAUGCUACCGUGACAAUAGAGCCAAUCAGUUAAACCCAAACAAUCCAGCUUAUUGGAAGUCUCGAUCUGGACAAGAAGCUGCCAGUGAGGGUUGGGGCUGCAACAUCGUUUAGUGUUAAGAUGUGGUGUUUAUGAGAGUAAGAAUUUUAUGUAGGUAAAAAUUGAAUAAAAAGUAGUUGGAUGAAA